CGUCGAGUGGCGGACGGGUGAGUAAUACGUAAGAAUUUGCCUUUAGGAGGGGGACAACAACUGGAAACGGUUGCUAAUACCCCAUAUGCUUUCGAGUGAAAUGGAUUUUUCCGCCUAGAGAGAAGCUUGCGGCUGAUUAGCUUGUUGGUGAGGUAAUGGCUUACCAAGGCGACGAUCAGUAUCUGGUUUGAGAGGACGAUCAGACACACUGGAACUGAGACACGGUCCAG
rnacentral:rRNA from 1 species